ensembl:snRNA U6 U6 spliceosomal RNA
GUGCUUGCUUCAGCAGCACAUAUGCUAAAAUUGGAAGAACACAGAGAUUAGUAUGAUUAGCAUGGCCCCUGUGCAAGGAUGACACACAAAUUUGUGAAGAAUUCCAUAUUUUU